rnacentral:snRNA from 1 species
GUGCUGGCUUUGGCAGCACAUAUACUAAAAUUCGAGUGAUACAGAGAAGAUUAACAUGACCUCUGUGCAAAGAUGACACGCGAAUUCUUGAAGCAUUCUGUAUUUUU